GCUCGCUUUGGCGGUACAUAUGCUAAAAUUGGAACGAUACAGAGAAGAUUAGCAUUGCCCCUGAGCAGGGAUGACACGCAAAAUCGUGAUGCUAGCAGUCCUGUU
rnacentral:snRNA from 1 species